GGCAGUUGGGUGUUUCUUGGAAAGAUCACUCCCCGUUGCUUUUCCCAUCUUUGCUUUUCCCAUCCUUUGCUUUUCCCAUCCUUCGCUCCUCCAUCCGCGGCCGUUACCCCAGCCCUCGAGCACCAGAAAUAGAAACUCGGAGGCUGGCGUCGAGGCUAGACAUGGACUCCGCGCCUGGCCCCUUCCAGAUCCCAGUUUUCUAAAGUGACUUCGCACCAAAGUCCGGGCUCCCUAAUUUAUGCGUUUUUAGACCCUUAAGCAUCAUUUUGUGGGCAACCAAACGGGCACUUCCAAAUUAGCUCAAAGUAUCCAAGCCCAGAGAAGAGAGAAAACACACAUACACUGAUAAAUACGCAGAUGCUAACUUGUAAGUAUUCUGUUUUUCCUCUGUGGGGAUGGAAAUUGAACAAGGGAAAGAGGGGGAACAUUUUUAUUUCCUAAAAUGUUUCCUACUGAGUUUGCACUUGUAAAGUUUUUUCUGCUUUCUUUCCCUUUGUGUGUGUUCUUACUCUCUUUCUCUCAGUAAAUAUCUCUGACUUAAGUUUAUUCUCCCAUCACUACCGUGAUCAAAAAGAAGAGAAAGACAAAAUAUCAAAACUUCCAAAUAUUUCUAGUUGUUCGCAACGGGUCUUUUUGUUGUUGUUGGAAAAAUAUAACCUGUUCAAGCGAUAUGAAAAUGGAUGCAGAAAUCAGAAAAGGGUGUGUGGAAUCGAUUUAAGUUUAACCUGACAGUACAUGUCUUGAAGGUCUUUUAUGAACUUGAAACACAUCGGCUAGGUCUUCAUCCUCACCUGCACUGGAAUUACCUACUUAAGAAAAACAAACUAAUGAUACACAAAGAAGCACUUAUAAAUUACAUAUCUUCAUGCCGGAAACACUAUUUGGAUGCGUGUGGAUGAUUCUGAAAAUUGAUAUAGUCUGAAGGAUGUAUAUGUACAUUUAUAUAUAGA
rnacentral:lncRNA from 1 species